rnacentral:rRNA from 1 species
GAGUUUGAUCCUGGCUCAGAACGAACGCUGGCGGCAGGCUUAACACAUGCAAGUCGAACGCCCCGCAAGGGGAGUGGCAAACGGGUGAGUAAUACAUGGGAAUGUACCUUUUAGUUCGGGAUAGCCUCGGGAAACUGGGAUUAAUACCGGAUGCGCUCUACGGAGGAAAGAUUUAUCGCUGAAAGAUCAGCCCAUGCCAGAUUAGCUAGUUGGUGAGGUAACGGCUCACCAAGGCAAUGAUCUGUAGCGGGUCUGAGAGGAUGAUCCGCCACACUGGGACUGCGAUACGGCCCAGACUCCUGCGGGAGGCAGCAGUGAGGAAUAUUGGACAAUGGAGGCAACUCUGAUCCAGCCAUGCCGCGUGAAUGAUGAAGGCCUUAGGGUUGUAAAGCUCUUUUACCGGGGACGAUGAUGACGGUACCCGGAGAAUAAGCCCCGGCUAACUUCGUGCCAGCAGCCGCUGUAAG